rnacentral:lncRNA from 10 species
UUAUCAUUUAUACAAUUAUUUAUGGUAGGAUAAAUUUGAACAGAGUCAUAUGGAAGAGUCAGACCUGCACAAAACUAUGAGGAUCUAGUCUGAAGCAAUAAGAAGGAUAAGACCUCAGUUUGAAAACAGACCCUAUCAGAACAACAGGAAUUCUGCUAAUAUUGAAACCAGAACAAACACCAAAUUUAUGGUGAAGCUUGGGUGGAAGAAUGGUGAUAUCACUGAUCCUUUACAAAAAGUUUAUGAGGACAAGGCCCCAAAGAAAUCAGCAGAUUACAAAUGGGUAUCUUGUUUUAGGAAGAAAGGAGAUGAUGUUGAAGAUGAAGCCUGCAGAGGCAGACUAUCCACAUCAAUUUUGAGGGAAAAAAUCAUCUUGUUUGCCUCCUAAUUAAACAGAACCAAUGAUUAGCAGCAGAAACAAUAUCCAACACUGUAGACAUCUCGAUUGUUUCAGCUCACACAAUUGUGACUGAAAAUUUAAAGGAGCAAACUUUUCACACUUGAUCGGUGACAAAACCAUUGCACCCAGAUCAAUUGCAGGCAAGAGCAGAGUUUUCAAUGAAAUUUUAAGUAAGUAGGAUCAAGAUUCUGAAGCAUUUAUUCAAAGAAUUGUAGCAGGAAAUGGAACAUGGUUUUAUCAAUAUGAUCCUGAAAACAAAGCACGAUCAAAGCAAUGGCUACAAAGAGGUGGAAGUGGUUUAGUCAAAGCAAAAGUGGACUGGUCAAGAGCAAGGUCAUGGCAACAGUUUUUUGGUAUGCUCAAGGCAUUUUGCUUGUUUACUCUCUGGAGGGCUAAAAAAUGAUAACAUCUGCUUAUUAUGAGAGUGUUUUCAGAAAGUUAGCUGAAGCUUUAGCAGAAAAAUACCCAGGAAAGCCUCACCAGUGAGUCCUUCUCCACCGUGGCAAUUCUCCUUUUCAUUUCUCUCAUCAAGCAAGGACAAUUUUGCAAGAGUUUUGAUGCGAAAUUGCUGAGCAUCCACCUUACAGUCCUGAUUUGGCUUCUUCUGAAGUUCUUUUUGUUUUCUGAUCUUAAAAUAUCUGUAAAAGACUCCCAUUUUUCUUCAGUAAAAAAAUAAAAAAUAAAACAAAACACCGACAUGGUUAAAUUCUCAUGGUCUCAGUUCUUUAGGAAUAGACUAAAUGGCUGGUGUCAUCACUUUUAAAAGUGUCUUGAACUUGAUGAAGCUUAUGUUAAGAAAUAAAGUUUAUAUUUUUUAUUUUUAUCUUUUUAUUCCUUUUUUUCCACAAACUUUUUGAAGUUUCCUCAUAUGUGGAGUUAUACUAGCCUCUUAUCUCAUCUGAAUUGUUAGAAUAUCAUAGCAUUUUCCCUCAAAAUGUGUCAGAGAGAAGUAAAAGCAAUAUGAAAGGUAAGAGUAAUUACUUUUUGCAUGUGGUGAAUAGAAAAUGCUAAGCCAAUCAUCAGGGCUGAUAGUAGACAAAAUUACAGCACUACACCUUCAACUUUCAAAAAAUGAACAUAAUAAAUGAUAAGAUAUUUGAGAUAUCCUAAAUACUUUUCAUCCCCUGAGCAUAGUAUUCUCUGAAGCCAUAUUUGCCUGCUACUAAUCCAACUACAGUUAUCUGAAGGGAACACUCACUACUGAUUUCAUUUAUGUAUAUACUGCCUCAUCUAUUUAAAAGCAAUUUUUUAAAAUUGUACACUGGUUUCCAACCCUUUUUACCUACUCAAGGAAAUUGCUAUAGCAAUUCUUCCCUAGUCCACAUAAAUACUUCCUCUUGUUUGAAUAUGUCCCAUCUACAUUUUUAAAAUGCUCUAGUUUCUCCCAUGGAAAAAUAAAUAAAUUCCUCUUGAACUCUAAUCCCCUUUAGCUACUGCUUCUCUUUUACUUAACAGAAACAUUUUUUAAAAGAGUUGCUUAUAUAUUCUAUAUACAAUUAUUCUCUUCCAUUUUGUCUUUAACUCUACCCAAUCAAGCUUUUGCCACCACUAUUUUACCUAAAUAGCUCUUGUCAAGGUCAACAAUGCUGCUAAAUCCAACAGUCAAGUCUUAGUCCUGAUUUUAGUUGAUAUCUCAACAGCAAGUUACAUAGAUGAUCACUUCCUCUUCAUGGAAACAGUUUCUUCCAUUGACUUCCAGGAUAAUUGUAAUAAUAAAAAUAAUAAUGACCAAUACAAACUAGUACAG